UCUAAAGAAAACAGCAGCUGCAGGCAGAGUGGCAGUGGAGGAGGAGGGAAAGGGAGAAAGAGUCCCAGCCGUGGAGGAGGUGAUAGGGAAAGCAGCCCCAGAGGCAGACCCAGCCACCAGGGAAGGGGUUCUCGAGACGAGUCUCAUGAUCCAGGCAUCGAAAUGGGAGAGAGAUCAGGGAGGGGGCAUAGUGAGAGAACACUGGAUGAGGGAGAAGAGCCAGGCUGAGGAAGCAGGGGAUGAGGAGAAAUCCAGACCAGCAUCGCCAGAGCCCGGGGGAGAAGUGCGACACCGAGAGGGAGGGCCCCAGAGCCAGAGUCCCCAGGCCUUAGAAACCAUGACUGUGGAAAACGAGAUGACUGAAAUCGGAGAGAGGCAAGAAAGCGCAGCACAGAAGAAAGAUGAUGCCCUAGGAGCUGAAGUCCCGAGGCCCUAAGAUGGCUUUAAAUAUGUCUUCUGGAAAAAGCAAGACUCAGAAGAGCAAGUCUCUAAUCAUUGUUCUAUCCAGAGCUUUAUAGCACUAAGUGUUUUUUUCUCCCUCUGAGUAUUACACACACACACACACACAUGCACAAGCACGCACAGAGCUGUAGAUUUGUGCGUGAUCAAGAUGCUGAUCUAUUCAUUUUUGCUGAUGCCUGACAAGACAACCUUUUCUGUUUAAUCCAGAGGAACUACAGGACAUGCAACUGAAUGGACUUGCAAGAAGAUAACUUAGAAGAAAUGCUCUCUAAUGGGGUCAGUCUGUAGAUGUUUCCCAUAACUGACAUCCAUCAAUUUUCUAAGUGAAAUCAUAUUUUAAAAUUAGUCCCUUUUAUCCUAAGACUAUCCUAUAGUUUUAUGCAAAAUCACCCUAUAGUUUUAUGAGUUUAUGCAAAUUUAUUUUUUGUUUUAAAUUACUUUUCAUUUUUCUGAGUUACUUGCUUGGGGAUUACCUAAGUCAAACUUGUGACUUGUGCUAAUGACUUGGCUUCUUGGUCCAUGAAAAUCAUGUCCAAUAGUCUCCCAUGUCUGUUCAUCAAGCAAAGUCCAGAGCUGACCUAUAGGAUGCAAUCCCUCGGAAUUGUCCUGACAAGAUGGAUUUGGUGGAUAAAAUGUCUUUGAUUAUAGUCUAGAAAGAUCCUUUCCUUCCGAUAAUGCCAAGUGCUUCCCUCUAAGUGGGAAGGGUUAUGUUGAAAUGCUUCCUGAGAGAGAGAGUAUUUUUAUUAUCCUUCCUUCCCCAGACAGCCAGCUAAGCUCACAGCUUACAGCUUAAGGGUCCUCAUUCCUGGGAAACCAACAUUGAAUCAAAGGAGUGUCUCUUUUAGUCUUAGUGAAGAGAACAGGAUAACCCUGGGAGUCAAACUGGGAGAGCCCGGACCCAGGUGCAUCAAGGCCCUGGUGAAGUCUGUGUUGAUGCCACAAGGAAUGGUCAGGAGAGAUGGCUUGGCCCACUGUUCCCCACUUCUAUGGGGGGUGUUAUGCCAAGACUGCGUCAGGAAAUAGCAGCAUUAGAUUUCUGAAUCACCACUGGGAGCACUUCCCAGAUAAGCAUAGGUGUGCCUCCCUCUAUGGAAAGGGGCUAAUGAAUCCCCUUGGGAUUCCUCUGGCCACAGAGCACUGCCCUUGGGGGCCACUGGCCUGGGCCACCUUUUCCUCUUAUAGAAGUGGUUUGGUAGGUUGGAUAAAGCACUAGUUCUUAGAGCCUGAGUUCAAAUCCCACUUCUGAUGCCUAUUCUCUAUGUGACCGUGGGUGAGUGACUCUGUCCCCUAGUCUCAGUUUCCUCAUGUGUAAAACAAGGGUGGGGGGUGGACAAAGUGGGCUUUGAGGUCCUUUCUGGAUCUGUGAACCUCUGGGUAAAAAGGCUGAUAAAUUCUGUAGAGAAAUGAUCACAAAUAAGUCUAGAAGGUGCUGAGCUCAUUCCUCAGUAGAGGAAAUCCCCUCACUGGGAGUUCCCAAUGCCUGCAAAGUCAUGUAUCUGGUCCAACACCAAACCAUCUUUCCCCCAGGUUCCAUCCCCACCAAAGCCAUUUGCUCCCCCAAAACAGGCAGAGAACCCCACCACUGCCUCAAACAUGUGCUAGCUGGGCCUUCUGAGGCCCUGGGGACCAGGAUUCUUAUUUUGGUUGGCUCUUUGGUGCUUGGUAAAGGAGAAUUCUCUAAGGAACAUGAUCUUUGAUCAUUCACUGCAGAAGAAGGAUUUUGGGGGGGGCAAGGAGGAUAUGGUAUUUGUGGUAAGGAAAAUAGGUCAGAGGGGUGAGGUUGGGCCUUUGAGGGAGGGGUGGGAUCUCCAGUAGGCUGGGAUGAUGGCAUUCUAGGAGGGCUGGUGGUAUUUUCCUCCCCUGCCUUGCCUUCUCCCCCAGCCCUAAGUUAAUAACCAUAAUGAGCUGGCUUGGGAGAUGGGAAUGCUAUGCUCUAAUAGGCUUCUUCCACAGCCUGUAGGCAGGCACCAGGUGUCAGGGGGCAUGAUUUCAUCCUCAAAGUAUGACAUGCCAUGUCUUAAUGAGCCCUCACAUCAGGAUUCUUUGGUCUUUGCUCUCUCUGUCUUCGCCCUUUGGAAUGACAAUGCUUUCACAGAAUGUGGAAGAAUGUGUAAGCUCCUCUCCUGCACUGAACAAUGAUUUCUGUAUGACAGAUGGAAAGGAAACAAUGAUUUAUACAAAGGACUCACGGCAUCAAAGUCCCCUGGGAUGUUCCUAUUCAUGGCACACCUGGAUGUCUCUGGAAUUUCAUGUUCUUGGGCUGGGUCUUCCAUGUGGGCAAUAUGUCAGUGAAAGCAUGAGUAUCACCACCCAUCUGCUCCUCUUCUUCAGUGUUCAUCAUUCUUAAAAGGACCAAUAAAUAAGAUGCUGAAAGGGCGGGUUCAUGGAUGACCUGGCCUAGUUAAGGUGACUCCUCAAUACUUGCCAGGGUGGAACAUCUGCCAGUAGGAGAGAUCACAACCCGUUUUCUCUUUCCGAUGUUGUACCACUCUCAUCCUUGCCCACCCCCCUAAUUCCCUCCCUCCCUUCCUCCUUUAAGGGGCCACUGGACAGGCUGGAGACUUCCUUUUAGAUCCAUUGAUCAAGCAGCAAGAAAUAAACAUUUAUUGUGUCCACUGUGUGCCCAUCAAUGAAUAAGCUUUUGUUUAUCACUUACUAUGUACUAGAUAUUGGGCUAAGCACUGAGAAUACAAAGAAAGGCAAAAAUCA